GGCUCACAUUCGCGAAACAGAAAUACCAACCGCCGCACAGUGCGCUGAGUAUAUGAGAAAUAAGGACAAAAAUCAAAUCAGUAUUCAAAAAUAUUCUGCUUGAUGGAAAAGAGGCUAAGUAGGGGUCAUACAUGAUAAGCAAAUUUUUCUUGACAUCAUGACAUGUAUCCUUUCUUGAUAUUUUGCGGGCGUGGUUCAAUCUAUUUUUCCUAAAAAUUGUAUGCAUUGCUUCCAAUGCUUCUUCGGAUAAUUGCCCUAUGGGAUCAAGUCUUCAUACCAGUAUAAAUCGAAAAGUGUGUUACCAUUUUGCGAUCUGAAGGGACCAGAGGAGCCAAACAGUUCACUUUCUCGUUACCCAGAUGGCUCCACGUAUGGACUAGGCCCGCAUGAAAUUUCGGAAAACGAUCGUUAUAAUUGGUACAGAUGGGCAAAACCCUAGACUUUGAAUAAAUUUGAAGUUUGCCGAUGUGUUUGUCUCGUUUCCUUCUUUGCAAAAUGUUCAAAGGAGGAAACGAGACAAACAUAUCGGCAAACUUCAGAUUUAUUCGAAGCCUAGGAUUUUGCCCAUCUCUGAUAAUUGGAAUGCGAUAAAGAAUGGAUUAAGAAAGAUUAAGAAAUAAGAUUAAGAAAGACUAGUCCUAAGAAUCCAGAUUUAAACUAUUAAUCACCCAAAAACUGAAAAAAUUAACCUGGGAAAACCAUGUGGCGUCCAAAGUUUCUGGGAACCUUGUGGCAACAUAAGGCAACCAUAGUGAAACUAAGUGUAAUGAAGGAAAAUGCCAAAGAAAGUGUCCUCUCAUCGGGUAUGGGGGGAACAGACAGAGAUAAUCUCAAAAUGAAAAUAAAGAGCAGUGACAUAAGCAACUACAGCGGAAAAGUAAAAAAAAUCUUACAAACAGAGAAAAAGGAUUUAUUUGCAGAUAAUAUAGAAAAAGGGAUCUGUGUACCUUGUACCUUGAAAGUCAUAAGGGUACAGCAGUAGUAUAGUGUCCAAAAUUUCCAUAAAACCACCAAUAUUUUGACGAAUUUUUUAAAAAUAUUAUUAAUUUUACUACUUUUUUCUCAUCUACAAUUAUAUUUAAUUGACACUAAUCAUAAAUCUACGAGUAUAUGCUCGGAAAUAUUUACCUUUUGGGUGUGUUUACAUUUUUUGCUGUACGAAGCGAAAUAUAAGUGCAAAAUUUCUAUAAGGCCACUUAGUUUGUGCUUAGAUUCUGAGUAAAUAAGUCCAGCUAGACACAAUAAAGGAAGUAAAACUCCAAUAAAAAAUAAAAUGCCACGAGGAUAAUUGUUAACCAGUGAAGAAAAGGCAUCCUUUGACGCUUAUAGGGAUAUGGGAUGUUCUAAUCGCAUAAUUUCAAAGAAAAUUAACCGAUCACGUACCGUUGUAAAUAAUUACGUAAAUUUAGGAAAAAAUUAUGGCAAAAAUCAUCCCAAAGGGGGAAAUUAAAACCUGACUAAGAGACAGCAUUCAUUAUUAAUGAGAUCUGCAUCAAGAGAAUUGAGAAGUGCAGCACAACUUUGCGUUGAAUUAAAUUUGCCAAUAACUACAAGACGCAUACAACAAAUUUGAAAAAAUUCUAAACGUUUCCACUGGACAAAAAUGGUGCAGAAACCAGCACUCAAAGCCGAACACAAACAGGCUCGUCUUAAUAUUGCAAAAAUACACAUGUCCUGGUCCAAAGAAUGGGAAUUUGUUAUUUGUACUGAUGAAAAGAAAUUCAAUUUAGACAGGCCAGAUGGUCUUAAAUAUUACUGGCAUGAUUUAAGGAAAGAAAAAGACAUAACAAUGAGUUGCAACUUUGGUGGUGGUACAUUAAUAAUCUGUGCUGCAUUUAAAGCUGACGCCAAGAUACCAAUCUGUCGCAUUACUCCUAAAAUGAAUUCUGAAAAAUAUACAGAAUUAUUAGACACAAUUUUAAUACCAUUUAUUGAAGAUAUUGGACACUAUAACUUCAUUUAUCAACACGACAACGCUGCCAUUCAUACAUCAAAUUACACGAAGCAGUGGUCUGGUCAAAAAAAUAUCAGGAUUUUGACAUGACCAGCUUGUUCCCCAGAUUUAAACCCAAUAGAAAAUGUUUGGGGGAUACUCGCGAGGAAAGUUUAUGUUAAUAUGUUAAUGAAUUAUGGAACGCGGUGAACGAAGCAUGGGCAUCUAUUCAAGAAGGCACACUUCAGAGUUUGAUUUCGUCAAUGCCCCAUCGUAUUUUCGAAGUUAUUCGAAGAAAUGGCAGUUCUACUAAUUAUUAAUGAAGAAAUAAAAAAGAUCUUACUGUUAAUUUUGAACCUACUUAUUUAAAAAAUAUAUGACUUUAUAGAAAUUUCGCAGUUUGUUUUAUAUAAAAUUAUAUAUUUACGUUUAUUUCUUUAAAUAAAUAUUAUUUCUAUUAUUUCAAUGUAUGUAUAUAUAUGUGUGUGUGUGUGUGUGUGUGUGUGUGUGUG